ACUCCUACGGGAGGCAGCAGUGGGGAAUAUUGCACAAUGGGCGCAAGCCUGAUGCAGCCAUGCCGCGUGUGUGAAGAAGGCCUUCGGGUUGUAAAGCACUUUCAGUUGUGAGGAAGGUGGUGUAGUUAACACCUGCAUUAUUUGACGUUACCUACAGAAGAAGCACCGGCUAACUCCGUGCCAGCAGCCGCGGUAAUACGGAGGGUGCGAGCGUUAAUCGGAAUUACUGGGCGUAAAGCGCAUGCAGGCGGCCUGUUAAGUCAGAUGUGAAAGCCCGGGGCUUAACCUCGGAAUUGCAUUUGAAACUGGCAGGCUAGAGUCUUGUAGAGGGGGGUAGAAUUUCAGGUGUAGCGGUGAAAUGCGUAGAGAUCUGAAGGAAUACCAGUGGCGAAGGCGGCCCCCUGGACAAAGACUGACGCUCAGAUGCGAAAGCGUGGGGAGCAAACAGGAUUAGAUACCCUGGUAAGCACAGAG
rnacentral:rRNA from 1 species